UUCCGGUUGAUCCUGCCGGAGGUCACUGCUAUUGGGAUUCGAUUAAGCCAUGCGAGUCGAGAGGGUUCGGCCCUCGGCGGACUGCUCAGUAACACGCGGAUAAUUUUCCCUAAGGAGGAGGAUAACCUCGGGAAACUGAGAAUAAUACUCCAUAGAUCUAGGAUGCUGGAAUGCACUUAGAUUCAAAGCUUCGGCACCUUAGGAUAAGUCUGCGGACUAUCAGGUAGUAGUCAGGGUAAAGUCCUGACCAGCCUACAACGGAUACGGGUUGUGAGAGCAAUAACCCGGAGACGAUAUCUGAGACACGAUAUCGGGCCUACGGGGCGCAGCAGGCGCGAAACCUUUACACUGCACGCCAGUGCGAUAAGGGAACCCCGAGUGAAAGGGCAUAUCGCCCUUUCUUUUCUGAACCGUAGGGAGGUUCAGGAACAAGAGCUGGGCAAGACCGGUGCCAGCCGCCGCGGUAAUACCGGCAGCUCGAGUGAUGACCGAUUUUAUUGGGCCUAAAGCGUCCGUAGCUGGCCAUGCAAGUCCAUCGGGAAAUCCACCCGCUUAACGGGUGGGCGUCCGGUGGAAACUGCACGGCUUGGGACAGGAAGGCUCGAGGGGUACGUUCGGGGUAGGAGUGAAAUCCUGUAAUCCUGAACGGACCACCGAUGGCGAAAGCACCCCGAGAGGACUGAUCCGACAGUGAGGGACGAAAGCUGGGGUCUCGAACCGGAUUAGAUACCCGGGUAGUCCCAGCUGUAAACGAUGUUCGCUAGGUGUGUCACUCACUACGAGUGAGUGAUGUGCCGCAGGGAAGCCGCUAAGCGAACCGCCUGGGAAGUACGUCUGCAAGGAUGAAACUUAAAGGAAUUGGCGGGGGAGCACUACAACCGGAGGAGCCUGCGGUUUAAUUGGACUCAACGCCGGG
rnacentral:rRNA from 1 species